AGUAUGUGAGAAAAUACUACCUAAAAUUAGGUCCAUAUCACCCCUUCUAUUUCCAUCAAAGAAUUGUGCAAGAAAAAGCCCAAAAUAAAGCAAGACGAAAUGAAAAUAAAAGGACUCAUCAUCAUCAUCAUCUAGUGUGCCUCAACAGAGAUAUAUCAGAGUUUUAUUGAGCGCCAUGUGAGCAUCAAAAUUGCUGAAAUAAUUAUUGUUUUAUCUCAACAUACGAGCAUCUGUUACUGGAAAUAUACAAGGGACAGGGACAUGUGAAAAAGUGGGUGAUUUUAUGAAUGAGCCAAGCUCGACUCGCAAAACUAAUCGAGCACUAAAUCAAAAAUGUCAAACUCAAGGGCAAGUAAGUCGUUAACAAUGGUACGCAUGGAUAACGUGAAGUGGAAGGUUAUGUGGGUGUUCUUUAAUUAUUCAAGGAGAAUAUGAUUUAGGACUACAUUAGAAGUCGUUAAAGUAUGUGGUAGAUGAGUAAAGUGCUCUUUAAACUAUUCUUACAGUUUUCCAGAGUAUUUAAGGUCUGGUGUUGUGGAAGCGGAUGUAAUAUACACAUAAAUGUACCUUGACUAUCCAUUCGUUUAAGCAUAGCGGCUAUCUAGUUCUGAGAUUAGGUUGAAAUACCCAAUUUGAAUAUACACAUCCAACCACAUUCUGACAUAGGUCCAAGCAAUUUAACUGCCGAUUUUACAUGGAAAUGCAGAGAUUUUAUUAAGAUAUUACUAUGUAGGGGAUCCAACAGUAGUAGGUAAUACAUCACACGGAGCUGAAAUAAAAAGGCGAUUUCAAACUGACUUCUUAGAAAAUAUGUAGAAUGAUGGUUAUCCACAAAAGUAGCAUGCCUAAGAACCAUGAUACGCUGAAGGCUUUGGGGUUGGAGAUCCAUUUUGUAUUAGUCGGCAUCUAUUUUAUAUCCUUAAGAGAGGCUUCGAUUAACUCCCAAGGAAAAUAUCCUCCUUUUUUAUAUUAAGCUGCUUCUUGUAGUCUGCAUGGAUUAUGUGAUUUCGCUACUUCUGCGAUUUCCUGGGCCACUGGACAAAGUCCUUUGAAAGCCCUUUUCACCCAUUUGUCCAAAUGAGAGAUAUCAGAACCGUUAGAUGUUCGAAACUACCCACAAGCUGUCUUGGUGAUCUCAUGUUUCACCCUUUAGACUUGUAUUUGAUCAUCUAUUUACCCGCACCUAUAUCCAUUGCCAUCGUGGAUUUUCACAGUGCGGUUAUCAUCCCUGGCAUCUACUCUUGCAGUUAUAAUAUUUGAGUUGCAGAUAUUUUGAUCAUUGCAGGCUUGCAGCUUUGUGAGUGCCUGGCUGCUAAACAUUUGUUAAAAAGUCUCUACAGAUGGUAGGAAACACUCGUGGGUCACGUGGACAAUUAUGUUGCAUUAAAGGCCCCCAUCAUUUAAUACCCAUGCCCCUCAAUGUGACAAUGUGUAUCUUCUGCAUUCCUAAAAGUAUAACAAGAAUAUGUCGAAUAUCCGUUCAAUAGACUAUGCCAAAUUAUCAUUUGUGUUUAAUUGCAGGCAAAUGUAUUUGUGGGCUAAAACUCAAGGGAAAGCACAAGGGUGUGUUAUUAUUUGGUGAGAGAAUUAAUUAUGGUGCACAUGGGGAUUCCAUGGCAAAGGGACCCUGCGGUGAGCUCACAUGUUCAUGUUGGCCCUUUCAUGACCAACCAAGCUAUGUAACAUUGCUUUUCAAAUCAAAUAUCUGCUCCAUCCUUAUGCUUCCUUGCCCGUUGUGGUGCAUCUGGGUAAACUUUUAGAGUGGGGAAACGGGCUGGUAGAAAUGGUUCAAAAUAGGUUGGACACGUCCUAGCUGCUGACCCAUUUUUAUUUCUCUCUUGUAGAAAUAGCAGUGUUCUUACACCUCAUAUAUUUUAGACACUAUAAUACUACAUUGUACUCCGUAUAACUUUUCUAGCAAAUUCUAGUAACUCAAAAUUAUGGUAUAUGAAAGAAAUCGACAAACUA